UAAAUGGACCCAAAGGCAGUAUUUGGUAUUUCCAUUCCAUUUAAUUAAUGGGGAUAAUAAAAGAAUUGACAUUUA
rnacentral:tmRNA from 1 species